rnacentral:tRNA from 1 species
GGUUGUGUAGUUCAGUGGUAGAGCACUUGCUUAGCAUGCAUUAGGCCAUGGGUUCCAUUCCCAACACCACCA